rnacentral:rRNA from 1 species
ACAUCCAAGGAAGGCAGCAGGCGCGUAAAUUACCCAAUCCUGACACAGGGAGGUAGUGACGAUAAAUAACAAUGCCGGGCAUUUCAUGUCUGGCAAUUGGAAUGAGAACAAUUCAAACCCCUUAUCGAGGAUCAAUUGGAGGGCAAGUCUGGUGCCAGCAGCCGCGGUAAUUCCAGCUCCAAUAGCGUAUAUUAAAGUUGUUGCAGUUAAAAAGCUCGUAGUUGGAUUUGUGGAAGCCCCUGGGGUCCAAUCUGGUACCAUCGGGGGUUUCCAUCCUUGGUCAGAGCCUGUGUGGCAUUAGGUUGUCGUGCAGGGUAUGUCCAUCGUUUACUGUGAAAAAAUUAGCGCGUUCAAAGCAAGCUUAUGCUGUUGAAUAUAUUAGCAUGGAAUAAUGAGAUAGGACCCUGGUGCUAUUUUGUUGGUUUGCGCUCUGGGGUAAUAUUAAUAGGGACAGUUGGGGGUAUUCGUAUUCCAUUGUCAGAGGUG